rnacentral:rRNA from 1 species
CAGCCGCCGCGGUAAUACGAAGGGGGCUAGCGUUGCUCGGAAUGACUGGGCGUAAAGGGCGCGUAGGCGGAUGGCACAGUCAGAUGUGAAAUUCCCGGGCUUAACCUGGGGGCUGCAUUUGAUACGUGUUGUCUAGAGUGAGGAAGAGGGUUGUGGAAUUCCCAGUGUAGAGGUGAAAUUCGUAGAUAUUGGGAAGAACACCGGUGGCGAAGGCGGCAACCUGGUCCUUGACUGACGCUGAGGCGCGAAAGCGUGGGGAGCAAACAGGAUUAGAUACCCCAGUAGUCCCUGUCUCUUAUAC